rnacentral:lncRNA from 1 species
CGCCCCGCCGGGAGCCGAGGGACCGGAGGCCGCCGGCGCCGGGACCGCAGCGCCCCCGCCUCCGAACCAGGUGCCGCGCUCCCCACCGAAGCCCCACGCCCGCCUCCUCCAGCUGGGCGCCAAACGUCGCCACCCCUGCAUCCCCCAGAGAAAAGCUUCCAGCCGGCCCGGGGCUAGGCGUAACGCAGGGCCGAGGCGACGAGCAGAGCCAGGACGCGGGCCUCAGUUUACCCGCGGUGUCCAGAACCAUGCUUUUGGAAGCGGCAAGAUGGCUGCCAGCAACUCUAGGCUCCAUCCUCACAGCCCAAGUCCUCAUUUCUUUCAGCUGUCCCAGAAAAAGCCAAGGUUGCAUCAAGUUGGCUCUGAGUGGGUCACAUAUCAUUGUUUGGACCUGAAUCCUAUGCCCGACCCUGGAGAUGAUCCCAUCCAAACCACAGUGAUGAAGAGUGAGGAAGGGUGACGUCAGAGCACUGUUUGCAAUUAGAAGGUGAAUGGACCCAGAGCUGUGUGCCAAGCACACAGAAAGUUCAUGAAAAGUAUCGGCCAUUGUUGAGGACCUUCAUCAUGUUUCAGGGGUGCCCAACACCUUUUGAGCAUUCUUCUGUGUUUGAGGAACUUUCCGUGUCACGAAUCCUGCACCCUGUACUCCAAAGCCAGAAGCAGUCUUUCCCAGUCUCCCUUGCAGCUGGGGAGCUGGCAUCAUCCAGGCCCUGCAACCAAAGGCACCAGGGAGGAUUUUCAUGUGGAAGAGACCAAUGCGAGGAGACACACGUCACCCAGAACCCAUUCAGGAGGGCGGUAGCAAGGAUGGUGCUGGAGGCAUCUGGCUUUAGGGACAACAGUGGCAGAGGUGCUGGAGUACUUGCCAAAACCUCCCCAGCUCUCCGAGGAGCCAUGCACUCAGCUUCAGUCAGGAGACCUCUUCUGAGCCCUGAGUCCAUGCCAAGCAUGCUGGGCCAUCGACGUCAGCAGCAGAGGAGGUGACCUCGGCCCAGCUGACUGUCCCACGGCAUCCCAGACAUCAGAGCAGGACAGCCCAGGACCUCCUGGCUCUGGUCUUCGUGGCAAUAUGUCUUGAUAGCAGCACCAAAGGCCAGUGACUCAGCUGAGGAGGAAAAGGCCUUACACGUGGGAGAUUGGCCAGUUCGUCGUUGUUUCCCCACAGACUUGAAAACUGGAAUUGAGCCAUGUAGGCAAAUGGAGUAGGCCUCAAGAAGAUCCUUGUGACAACCCUAGAAGACAUGAGCCAGGGAGAGAAAGGAGAGUCCAGGGUCCUUUCCAAACGCUGUGGGCAGGAGCGAAGAUCAAGAUACACGAAACUCAAUAUUCAAAUUCAGACUCAGAAAAAGUACGUUUGAAGGAUGUUGUUUGCCUUGCACAAUAAUCUUUCAUUAGAAACAGCAUUUCAUUCUCGGCAAUUUCCGGGGUUUGCUUAUAGAUCUGUCACUAGUUAAGAGAGAAGACACCCCAGAGUUCAUAGCUCUAGGAACAUCUGCCCCAGAGAAUGGCAGCUGUGGUCACCUACAAGUUGCAGAUCAGCCCUAGUGCCCUUAGUUCCUUCACCCUAGUUGAGAGCGUCUCAAACCUUUAGAAAUCACCUGGAGAGCUUGUGAAAAACACAGAUGGCUGGGCCCCACCCCGAGUUUCUGAUUCAAUAGGUUUGGAAUGGGGCCUGAUCAUUUGCAUUUCUAACAAGUUCCCAAGUGAUGCUCUUGCUGCUGGUCCAGGAAGCUCACGCUGGGAAUCACUGAUGGAGUUAGACACACCUGCCUGCGCCCUCUGCCCACACCCCAGAGGACUUGGCUAGAGAGCGCUGCUGGGGAGCACUCCAUCUUUAUGCCCUUUAUAUCCCGGACGAUAGGGCUCCACAGGACACUCUGCAUUGCCUGGUGCACACGCUGCACAUGCUGUGGGUGUUGCCUUUCCCACUGUCUGCUAUGACUUGUUCACCCCUUCUCUGUCCUCAAACCUCCAACACCUCCUCAUGUGCCCAGCCCAGCUGGUGAGGAAAACAGCUGCCAUCUUCUUCAUUGCUUCUCAAUUCAUUGAGGAAACAGAUGCCAUCAUCUUCCCAACACCAAAUCUUGAGAACCGCCUGCCUGGGGCCCACUCUCUCUGCCCAUCCUCUCAGAGAUGGAGGAGGUGUCCUGCUCCCACCCAAGGCCAUUCACACCACUUAUGUCCCUCCUCCUUAAGUUCUCCCUUGUCUUCUUUGUCUUCCCUCACUCCCUUUCUUAUGGGAAUAGUGGACCAUUCCCACAAGCAUACAAACAUCUUCUAGCAUCUCUUAUCUUUUUUUUUAAAGGGCUACCCCAGACCUCCUUACCCGCCUCCAGCUACCACCCCAUUGCUCACCUGCCAUUCACAGCAAACCUUCUUCAAAGUAUUGUAGCUAGUUCCCAUCACCACUUUCUCCCUUCCCAACCCACUGGAGUCUGCCUUCCUUCCUUAGCAUGCUGCUGAAACCCCAACAACUCCCUCAUUGCCAAAUCCAGGGGUCCUCACCUCAGUCUCUCAGAAACAUUCAAGACCACUGACCACCUCCUGCCGGGAAGGCUUUCUGCUCUUGGCUUCUCCUGGUUUUCCUCCUACCUCACUGGACGCACCCUCUCUGAAUGUUGGAGGGCCCUAGUCUUGGAACUGACUACCUCCCCUUUCCUACAUUCUCUCUAGCCCCUUGGCUCCAACACGGUGCCUGCUAAAUCCACAUCCACAAGCCCAUGACCACUCCCCUGCGCUUGGAUUUUUGUCCAACUCCCUUUGAGCAUCUCAAAUCUCAACAUGCCCAAAAUAAAACUCUUGAUUCCCUUGCCCAGUUUGAGUUUGUGUUAAAAUAUGCAUAACAUAAAAUUUACCAUUUUAACCAUUUUUAAGUGUACAAUUCAGUGGCAUUAAGUACAGUGUUGUGCAACCAUCGCCACUAUGCAUUUCCAGAAGUUUCUCAUCAUCGCAAACUGAAACUCUGUACCCAUUCAAUAAAAACACCCUCUUCCCCCAGCCCUCCCGCCCUCAGCCGCUGGUAACCACAAUUCUUCUUUCCGUCUCUCUGAAUUUAGCUAUUGUGGGGACCUCAUAUUAGUGGAAUCGUGCAGUGUUUGUCUUUUUGUGUCUGCCUGCCCAAAUUUUUCCUCCUUCAAGUUCCACCAUCCCCCAAUUGCCCAAGAAUACUCCCUCGCAAUUAAAAUGAGUUUCUGAGCUGUUCUUCCAUUUUAUUUUUUCAGAUAUUUGUUUUGUCAUUUAAAAGUUUUAAAUAUAGAAACUAAAAUAAAAUAGCCAAGAAAGACAUAACACCAUGCUUCUACCUCUCAGAUUUAAUCAUUGUUAACAUUUUAUCAGUUGCUUUGCAAUUUUUAAAUACGAGAAAUAAAACAUUACAAUUCAAAUUGUAAUCCCCUUUUAAUUCCCACCACCAGAGGCAACAAUAGGUAAAUUAAAUAUGCAUCAUC